AGAUUGAACGCUGGCGGAAUGCUUUACACAUGCAAGUCGAACGGCAGCACGGGGGCAACCCUGGUGGCGAGUGGCGAACGGGUGAGUAAUAUAUCGGAACGUGCCCAGUAAUGGGGGAUAGCCCGGCGAAAGCCGGAUUAAUACCGCAUACGACCUACGGGUGAAAGCGGGGGAUCGCAAGACCUCGCGUUAUUGGAGCGGCCGAUAUCAGAUUAGCUUGUUGGACGGGUAAAAGCCCACCAAGGCAACGAUCUAGUAGCUGGUCUGAGAGGACGACCAGCCACACUGGGACUGAGACACGGCCCAGACUCCUACGGGAGGCAGCAGUGGGGAAUUUGGACGUAAGUGGGCGACGAAGGCCUGGAA
rnacentral:rRNA from 1 species